AGGUGUUCAGCUUGUUUGUGUUGGGAGCUGUGGCCUGCACAUGCUACACAACGCAUUCAAGUGUGGGUUCACUGCGUGGCAGCUGGACAAGUUACUGAGAGCAAUGCACACAUUGUUUCACAAUGUGCCCGCUAGGAAAAGGAUUACAUCACAGUAACAAAGUCAAGUGUGUUCCCCUUGUCCUUCUGUGCCCAUCGUUGGGUGGAAAACCUACCUGUUGUGGAGAGAGCCCUUGCAGUCUGGCCAUCACUGCUCCUGUACAUGGAGGCUGUGAAAACAAAGAAGCUCCCGAACCCUGGAACAGGUAGGCCCUUCUGAAAUGCUGUGAAUAGGUCUGUGACUUUUUCCUAACCCUGGUGGUGUGGUGUGGUGGCUUUGUCAUGGUUUUUGUAAUGUACAGCUAAGUUGAAAUGUCCUGCCUCUCUCUGUCUCUCUCUCUCUCUCUCUCUCUCAGCAUCCUAUGACACCGUUGCAGCAGCCAUGAAGGAUCCAUUCAUCUUGGCCAAACUGCAGUUCUACACGGCACUGGCCAGGACCUUCACUCGCUUCCUGAAAAAAUAUCAAACAGAUGAGCCUGUGCUGCCAUUCCUCUCCAAGGACCUGACCGAGUUGAUGAUGAGUCUACUCAGACGCUUCAUCAAAAGAGAAGUCCUCCACAACAUCACUGCCCUGCAACUGAUCAAGCUGGAUGUCACAGACAAGACCAUCUGGCUCAGCCCACAAGACAUCAGCAUUGGUCUAGGUGCUGAGUCAGUCCUUAAGGUAGUGUGAUGUUUUAAAAAGAUAACUGUACAAAUAUGGUUAGGCUGCAACCAGGUCAUAGUAGACAUCUUCUAUAUUCACGGCUGAUUUCCCUCUCUCUCUAGAGCAUCAAAGGUGCAGAGCUCAGGGUGCUAGAGUUCAGGAGAGAGUGCAUUCAGGGACUGUGUAGCAUCAUCAGGAAAGUGCAGGAUAAGAGCCCCCUCAAUUAUUUCAAAAUUGUAGGCUGCACAUUAAUUUAUCAUCAAUCUAAAUACCUAGCAAUGCCC
rnacentral:lncRNA from 1 species